UGCCAGUAGUCAUAUGCUUGUCUCAAAGAUUAAGCCAUGCAUGUCUAAGUUUAAGCAAUAAACAGUGAAACUGCGAAUGGCUCAUUAAAUCAGUCAUAGUUUAUUUGAUGGUACCUUGCUACAUGGAUAACUGUGGUAAUUCUAGAGCUAAUACAUGCUGAAAAAUCCCGACUUCUGGAAGGGAUGUAUUUAUUAGAUCCAAAACCAAUGGCCUUCGGGUCCCUAUGGUGAAUCAUGAUAACUGCUCGAAUCGCAUGGCCUUGCGCCGGCGAUGCUUCAUUCAAAUAUCUGCCCUAUCAACCUUCGAUGGUAGGAUAGAGGCCUACCAUGGUGAUGACGGGUAACGGGGAAUAAGGGUUCGAUUCCGGAGAGAGGGCCUGAGAAACGGCCCUCAGGUCUAAGGACACGCAGCAGGCGCGCAAAUUAUCCCCUGGCAACACUUUGCCGAGAUAGUGACAAUAAAUAACAAUGCAGGGCUCUUACGGGUCUUGCAAUUGGAAUGAGUACAAUUUAAAUCCCUUAACGAGGAUCAAUUGGAGGGCAAGUCUGGUGCCAGCAGCCGCGGUAAUUCCAGCUCCAAUAGCGUAUAUUAAAAUUGUUGCCGUUAAAAAGCUCGUAGUCGAACUUCGGGCUCUGUCAGCCGGUCCGCCUUCUUGGUGUGUACUUGUUUGACGGAGCCUUACCUCCUGGUGAACGGCAAUGUCCUUUACUGGGUGUCGUCGCAAACCAGGACUUUUACUUUGAAAAAAUUAGAGUGUUCAAAGCAGGCCUUUGCCCGAAUACAUUAGCAUGGAAUAAUAAAAUAGGACGCGCGUUCCCAUUUUGUUGGUUCCUGAGAUCGCCGUAAUGAUUAAUAGGGAUAGUUGGGGGCAUUUGUAUUCCGUCGUCAGAGGUGAAAUUCUUGGAUUGCCGGAAGACAAACUACUGCGAAAGCAUUUGCCAAGGAUGUUUUCAUUGAUCAAGAACGAAGGAAGGGGGAUCGAAAACGAUUAGAUACCGUUGUAGUCUCUUCUGUAAACUAUGCCAAUUGGGGAUCGGUACAGGAUUUUUAAUGACUGUAUCGGCACCCGAAGAGAAAUCUUUAAAUGAGGUUCGGGGGGGAGUAUGGUCGCAAGGCUGAAACUUAAAGGAAUUGACGGAAGGGCACCACCAGGUGUGGAGCCUGCGGCUUAAUUCGACUCAACACGGG
rnacentral:rRNA from 1 species